CUCCACUGCUGGAUUGCAGUUGGACUCCAGUUGCCAACUUCGCACUGUCACGCUGAAGGCACCUGUCAAGUCUUUCCUUGGGGAACAAAGCAUUGUGGGACAAGGAGUUCAUUUUGUGUGACAUAGACUGUUAAAAUCCAAAUAAGAGGCCGGCCUGAUCCACCGCAGGAAGGAGAACCACGCCUGCUCACGAC
rnacentral:lncRNA from 1 species